AGUAUGACUCUAGAUAACACCUUUUAACACUAACUCAGAUAAACUUUAGAUUAUGUUCCAACAUUAUGUAAUUUCUUUUACAGGUUGAAUAAACAUGGAAUGAAUGAAUCUCAGGGCUACAAGUAUUUUGUUUUGCGUGCACAAAAAAUAGCAUUAUCACAUGGAUAUGAAAUCAUCAAUUGGUAUGAACUCUACAUCUGGAUGAAUUGUAUGUCCUCGGUUGUUUCUGCUCUAAAACUUGUGUUCCUUGAUGAACAGGGAAGAGACUUUCAACAACUUUGGGAGUCAACUCAGCCCAAAAACUGUGGUUCAUAACUGGCUUGGUGGUGGAGUAGCACAGAAGGUGGUGGCGGCCGGACUGAGAUGCAUUGUGAGCAACCAGGAGAAGUGGUACUUGGAUCACUUGGAUGUCCCAUGGCAGAAGUUCUACAUGAAUGAGCCCCUUACAAACAUCUCCACGCCUGAGCAGCAGAAAUUGGUCAUUGGUGGUGAGGUGUGCAUGUGGGGAGAAAGUAUUGAUGCCUCUGAUAUCGAGCAAACCAUCUGGCCUCGUGCUGCAGCUGCUGCAGGUAAUACUGGCGAAAACUAAGCAUUAAAAUCUCGGUUAGAUAUCAGUUUCCAUAACCUACCCAACCAAUAUAAGACCAGUAUAUAUAUAAUUGAAUAAAAUAGAAAAAGAAUUAAA